UGCAGGAAGAAUGCCCUAUGGGUAGUAAACUGCUUUUAUACGGGAAGAAAAAGAGCUACGUGUAGCUUACUGACGGUACCGUAAGAAUAAGGACCGGCUAACUCCGUGCCAGCAGCCGCGGUAAUACGGAGGGUCCGAGCGUUAUCCGGAAUUAUUGGGUUUAAAGGGUCCGUAGGCGGGCCGAUAAGUCAGGGGUGAAAGUCUGCCGCUCAACGGUAGAACUGCCUUUGAUACUGUCGGUCUUGAGUUAUAGUGAAGUUGCCGGAAUAUGUAGUGUAGCGGUGAAAUGCAUAGAUAUUACAUAGAACACCGAUUGCGAAGGCAGGUGACUAACUAUAUACUGACGCUGAUGGACGAAAGCGUGGGGAGCGAACAGGAUUAGAUACCCUGGUAGUCCACGCCGUAAACGAUGGAUACUAGCUGUCCGGGGCCUUGAGUUCUGGGCGGCCAAGCGAAAGUGAUAAGUAUCCCACCUGGGGAGUACGUUCGCAAGAAUGAAACUCAAAGGAAUUGACGGGGGCCCGCACAAGCGGUGGAGCAUGUGGUUUAAUUCGAUGAUACGCGAGGAACCUUACCAGGGCUUAAAUGCAUAUUGACAGGGUCAGAGAUGACUUUUCCUUCGGGCAAUUUGCAAGGUGCUGCAUGGUUGUCGUCAGCUCGUGCCGUGAGGUGUCAGGUUAAGUCCUAUAACGAGCGCAACCCCUACCGUUAGUUGCCAGCAUGUCAUGAUGGGGACUCUAACGGGACUGCCGGUGCAAACCGUGAGGAAGGUGGGG
rnacentral:rRNA from 1 species